rnacentral:rRNA from 1 species
UUGUUGGUAAGGUAAAAGCUUACCAAGGCUUCGAUCAGUAGCUGGUCUGAGAGGACGACCAGCCACACUGGGACUGAGACACGGCCCAGACUCCUACGGGAGGCAGCAGUGGGGAAUUUUGGACAAUGGGGGCAACCCUGAUCCAGCCAUGCCGCGUGAGUGAAGAAGGCCUUCGGGUUGUAAAGCUCUUUCAGCCGGAACGAAACGGUUACGGAUAACACCCGUGACUACUGACGGUACCGGAAGAAGAAGCACCGGCUAACUACGUGCCAGCAGCCGCGGUAAUACGUAGGGUGCGAGCGUUAAUCGGAAUUACUGGGCGUAAAGCGUGCGCAGGUGGUUUUGUAAGUCAGAUGCGAAAGCCCCGGGCUCAACCUGGGAACUGCGUUUGAAACUACAAGACUAGAGUGUGGCAGAGGGGGGUGGAAUUCCGCGUGUAGCAGUGAAAUGCGUAGAGAUGUGGAGGAACACCGAUGGCGAAGGCAGCCCCCUGGGUCAACACUGACGCUCAGGCACGAAAGCAUGGGGAGCAAACAGGAUUAGAUACCCUGGUAGUCCAUGCCCUAAACGAUGUCAACUAGUUGUCGGGCCUUUACGGGCUUGGUAACGUAGCUAACGCGUGAAGUUGACCGCCUGGGGAGUACGAUCGCAAGAUUAAAACUCAAAUGAAUUGACGGGGACCCGCACAAGCGGUGGAUUAUGUGGAUUAAUUCGAUGCAACGCGAAAAACCUUACCUACCCUUGACAUGUAUCGAAGCCCGCAGAAAAGCGGGGGUGCCCGAAAGGGAACGAUAACACAGGUGCUGCAUGGCUGUCGUCAGCUCGUGUCGUGAGAUGUUGGGUUAAGUCCCGCAACGAGCGCAACCCUUGUCAUUAAUUGCCAUCAUUUAGUUGGGCACUUUAAUGAGACUGCCGG